GAUGAACGCUAGCGAUAGGCUUAACACAUGCAAGUCGAGGGGCAGCGAGAUGUAGCAAUACGUCGUCGGCGACCGGCGAAUGGGUGAGUAACACGUAUGCAACUUACCUCUUAGUGGUGAAUAACCCGAUGAAAGUCGGACUAAUACACCAUAUACUCCUUAGAUCCCAUGAGAAGAGGAGGAAAGAUUAAUCGCUAAGAGAUGGGCCUGCGUUCCAUUAGCUAGUUGGUAAGGUAACGGCUUACCAAGGCAACGAUGGAUAGGGGGACUGAGAGGUUGACCCCCCACAUUGACACUGAGAUACGGGUCAAACUCCUACGGGAGGCAGCAGUGAGGAAUAUUGGUCAAUGGGCGAGAGCCUGAACCAGCCAAGUCGCGUGAAGGAAGACUGCCCGCAAGGGUUGUAAACUUCUUUUGUAUGGGAUUAAAGUCACCUACGUGUAGGUGUUUGCAGUUACCAUACGAAUAAGCAUCGGCUAACUCCGUGCCAGCCGCCGCGGUAA
rnacentral:rRNA from 1 species